AGUGGGCGUGCAGGAGAAGCUGUAGGUCAGGAGGUAGAGUUGGCAGUGGGCGUGCAGGAGAAGCUGUAGGUCGGAGAGGUAGAGUUGGCAGUGGGCGUGCAGGAGAAGCUGUAGGUCGGAGAGGUAGAGGUGGCAGUGGGCGUGCAGGAGAAGCUGUAGGUCGGGAGGUAGAGGUGGCAGUGGGCGUGCAGGAGAAGCUGUAGGUCAGAGUGGAGAGGUGGCAGUGGGCGUGCAGGAGAAGCUGUAGGUCGGGAGGUAGAGGUGGCAGUGGGCGUGCAGGAGAAGCUGUAGGUCGGAGAGGGUGCAGAGUGGAGAACAGAUGAGCUGGAGUCACACCAUGCCCUAUACCCAGCCAGAGGCCGAAGUGAGCCUGUCACGGUAAUGCCACUGCCUGCUUGAUUCCCUCCCAUGCCUAGCCUGGGUUCUUCAUGAUCCCUGAGGCCCUCUUUGAUGUCAUCCCGCUGCCUCAAAACCUGUGUGUGCUGGUGGCUCCCUCUGCUUUCCUUCCAGAUGACUCCUUCGCUUCAGCUCAAAUGUCACCUUUGGCUGUUAAAAUCCUUUCCGGAGGAAGUUGUAAACAAUGCCUACCCCUCCUCCCGA
rnacentral:lncRNA from 1 species